UCCCUACGGGACGCAGCAGUGGGGGAUAUUGCACAAUGGGGAAAACCCUGAUGCAGCGACGCCGCGUGAGCGAUGAAGUAUUUCGGUAUGUAAAGCUCUAUCAGCAGGGAAGAAAAUGACGGUACCUGACUAAGAAGCCCCGGCUAACUACGUGCCAGCAGCCGCGGUAAUACGUAGGGGGCAAGCGUUAUCCGGAUUUACUGGGUGUAAAGGGAGCGUAGACGGCAGUACAAGUCUGAAGUGAAAGGCAAGGGCUCAACCCUUGGACUGCUUUGGAAACUGGGCUGCUGGAGUGUCGGAGAGGC
rnacentral:rRNA from 1 species